AGCCCGUUCUGUUAUUAACAUCACUGUUGGCUCUGCAAAGGAGGAAUCUGUCUGGAAAAUAGUGCUGGCCAGUGUCUUUGGUGUUGGUACUGCUGCUGCUGCUGCUGCUGCUGUUGUUGUUGGUGCUGUUGGUGUUGGUGGUGUUGGUGGUGUUGGUGGUGUUCUUCUUCUUCUCCUGGUGAAACGUGGAGUCAUCUGGAAGAAGAUGUAAGCAGCAGAGACGAGUGAAACGAUGACAUACCUGAGGCCAGAGGACGAUGUCCUGUAGACCCACGCAGCGCUGCAGGACACGGUCUGAGAGACUCGGUGGUCCGAGACCAUAAAAACACAUCCAAACUUCAUCAGCUUAACCCUCUAUGGCAGGAAAAUUAGCUCUUGAUCUAAAACCUGGUACUAUGCAUCUCUCCCCUUGGGGUUAAUGUUUAUUGUACGCUGUCCCUGUUUCUCGUGGGUUAUUGUUUCAAUCUGUCUGUUUUUGGUAAAGCACACUGAUUUCCUGUUCUGUGUUAAAAACCUCGGGAAGCAGUUGCUGGUGGAGGUAAAACAGAGGUGAAGGUCACAUUUCUGGAACGUAGCUUUUGGUGACUCUUGCGUAGGCCUCCAGCGAUGUAGGACUUGAAGGUAUACAGCUUCAUUUGUUCCUCCUUUCUCAUGUUUGUGCUUUCACCAUCUCUCCGGUAGAGAAGCCAGGUGGUCACGGUGAUCAUAUCCAGGAAGAGGAACACCAGCCGCUGGUACCACUUCUUUGAUCUGGUUUUGGUCCGGUACAGUGCAGUCAGU